GUCCAGACUCCUACGGGAGGCAGCAGUGAGGAAUAUUGGUCAAUGGGCGAGAGCCUGAACCAGCCAAGUCGCGUGAGGGAGUACUGCCCUAUGGGUUGUAAACCUCUUUUGUCGGGGAGCAAAAGCCGGACGUGUCCGUCUGUGAGAGUACCCGAAGAAAAAGCAUCGGCUAACUCCGUGCCAGCAGCCGCGGUAAUACGGAGGAUGCGAGCGUUACCCGGAUUUAUUGGGUUUAAAGGGUGCGUAGGCGGCUCGUUAAGGCAGUGGUCAAAUUGAGGGGCUCCGCCCCUUCCCGCCAUUGAAACUGGCGCUCUUGAGUGGAAGAGAAGUAUGCGGAAUGCGUGGUGUAGCGGUGAAAUGCAUAGAUAUCACGCAGAACCCCGAUUGCGAAGGCAGCAUGCCGGCUUCCGACUGACGCUGAAGCACGAAAGCGUGGGGAUCGAACAGGAUUAGAUACCCUAGUA
rnacentral:rRNA from 1 species